CGUAGAAGACUAGUGUUAUUCAUGUUUAAUCGGUUUAAAGGGUACCUAGACGGUAGAUCAAGCUUUUUCAUAUAAAUUAUGAUAAUUAAAGGRCUAAUUUGCUAGAGUUACUUACGGGGGGGUAUUAAAGUACUGCUGGUGUAGAGAUGAAAUUCUGUCAUACCUCUUUUCGAAAGAAAAAUCAUGGCACAGGUAUAGGCGAAGGCAUCCCCUUAUGUGAUAACUGACGUUGAGGGACGAAGGCUUUGUGUAACAAACAGGAUUAGAUACCCUAGUAGUUGAAGCAGAAAAUGAUGAAUGUCAUAGAUUAGAUAUAUAAGUUUAUUCUAUAAAUGAAAGUGUAAGCAUUCCUCCUCAAGAGUAAUUUGGCUACAUUGGUACUGAAAUCAUUAGACCGUUUCUGAAACCUGUAGUGAAGUAUGUUGUUUAAUUUGAUGAUCCGCAAAAAACCAAACCMCAAUUUGAAUAUUUAUAUUUUUUUUUAUUGUUUUCUUCUUAAUUUUCUUCUAAUAACAUAUCUAACAUGUAAAAAGAAGAAAGUUAAUAAAGAGGCAAUAAUAUAUAUUUACAAGUGUUGCACGGCUGUCUUCAGUUAAUGUCGCGAGUCUUUGGUUAGUUCCAUUAAAUUAACGUAAACCCUUNCUUUAUUUUUAUAUAGAGUAGUUCCCCGCUAUAUGGAUAUAG
rnacentral:rRNA from 1 species